rnacentral:rRNA from 1 species
AACAGGAUUAGAUACCCUGGUAGUCCACGCCGUAAACGAUGAGUGCUAGGUGUUGGGGGGCUACGCCCCUCAGUGCCGAAGGUAACCCAUUAAGCACUCCGCCUGGGGAGUACGGCCGCAAGGCUGAAACUCAAAGGAAUUGACGGGGGCCCGCACAAGCGGUGGAGCAUGUGGUUUAAUUCGAAGCAACGCGAAGAACCUUACCAGGGCUUGACAUCCCGCUGACCCCUCCAGAGAUGGAGGUUUCCUUCGGGACAGCGGUGACAGGUGGUGCAUGGUUGUCGUCAGCUCGUGUCGUGAGAUGUUGGGUUCAGUCCCGCAACGAGCGCAACCCUUGUCGUUAGUUGCCAGCAUUUCGGAUGGGCACUCUAACGAGACAGCCGGUGAAAGCCGGAGGAAGGUGGGGAUGACGUCAAAUCAUCAUGCCCCUUAUGUCCUGGGCUACACACGUGCUACAAUGGCUGGUACAAAGGGCAGCGAACCCGCGAGGGGGAGCCAAUCCCAAAAAGCCAGUCUCAGUUCGGAUCGCAGGCUGCAACUCGCCUGCGUGAAGCCGGAAUCGCUAGUAAUCGCGGAUCAGCAUGCCGCGGUGAAUAUGUUCCCGGGCCUUGUACACACCGCCCGUCACACCACGAGAGUUUGCAACACCCGAAGUCGGUGAGGCAACCUUUUAGGAGCCAGCCUCCGAAGGUGGGGCAGAUGAUUGGGGUGAAGUCGUAACAAGGUAACC